rnacentral:piRNA from 1 species
UGAGGGAGGUUUCACUGUGAGCCUGCACCAU